AUUGAACGCUGGCGGCAGGCCUAACACAUGCAAGUCGAACGAGUGGCGGACGGGUGAGUAAUGUCUGGGAAACUGCCUGGUGGAGGGGGCUAACUACUGGAAACGGUAGCUGAUACCGCAUACCAUCGGAUGUGCCCAGAUGGGAUUAGCGAGGAGGGAGGGUAAAGGCUCACCUAGGCGACGAUCCAUAGCUGGGCUGAGAGGAUGACCGGCCACACUGGGACUGAGACACGGUCCAGACUCCUACGGGAGGCAGCAGUGGGGAAUAUUGCACAAUGGGCGCAAGCCUGAUGCAGCCAUGCCGCGUGUAUGAAGAAGGCCUUCGGGUUGUAAAGUACUUUCGGCGGGGAGGCGUUACCCGCCGAGAAAGCACCGGCUAACUCCGUGCCAGCAGCCGCGGUAAUAC
rnacentral:rRNA from 1 species